AUGGUCAGUAAUAGCACAACUAAAGUUUGUGAACAACAUAUCAUUAUGAAAUGGUUGGUUGGAUUGACGGCGCAGUUCCUUUCGAGGAUCAUCCCCUUCUUGUACAACGGCUGGUUCGUGCGCCAGCUCAGGGCCGACGACUGCGCGGCAUAUGCAUUGCAGCUUCCACUUUUCAUCAAUUGUGUCUUAUUUUUAAGCCGGGAGGGGUUUCGGCGUGCUUGCUUGCGUAAUAAUUCUGGGAGUGGUGAUGUGUUGAGUGACGAAGAGAUACUGAAGGUAGCUUGGAUGAUCAUCCCGUUUGGCUUGUUUGUGACUUCUAUUGGCAGUCUAUUUGUGUUCAGAAUAAAGAAACUGAAGUUAUCUGACCCUUAUGCAAAAGCUACGUUAAUCAUCGGAUUUGCGUGUAUCUUGGAGCUACUGGCAGAACCUUUGUAUAUUCUUUCCCAAACGAAGAAAUACUACAUAAUAAGAGUGUAUACUGAACCUGCAGCUACUCUGCUACGUUGCCUAACAACUUAUAUCUUCAUAAAAGGACAUAUUAAAGUGGAGAUGCUGGUCGUAUUUGCUUUGUCUCAGGUCGUCUAUGCGGCCUGCAUUUUCAUUGGAUAUUGGGCAUAUUUUCUUUUAUUUGCUAAUAUCAGAACUUUUGAUCUCCUUCCAUUCAGGUUGUCAACUCUGAUGGUCUAUGAUAAACAGUUAUUGCACAUGUGCAUAUUGUUUACAGGCCAGACUAUCAGGAAAUUGAUUCUCCAAGAAGGCGAAAAAUUUGUUCUUGUUUGGUUUGAUACUCCAUUUAACCAGGCUGCAUAUGGUCUUGUGGAUAAAUUAGGAAGUCUGGUUGUUAGAAUAAUUUUCCUGCCGUUUGAGGAGAGUUCUUAUGCUACAUUCACCCAAUUAGCAUCAGGGCAAACUCCUGAGAAUAUAUCCAAUCUGGAAGGUUCUUUGCUCGGAGCUCUUAAACUUAUUAUGCUGAUAGGUCUCGUGGUCAUUUCUUUUGGUCCAAGUUAUUCAUACACCCUUCUGAAUCUAUUAUAUGGAAGAAGAUAUAGUGAUGGCGAAGCUACAGCUGUCCUCCGUUUCUAUUGCACUUCUGAAGCUUUCCUUCAUUCUGUUGCCAAUGAAAGCCAGCUUAAGCAGUCAAACAAUAUGUUGCUCCUCUUCUCAGCAAUUUAUACUGUUCUAAAUGUUGCUUUUAUUAAAUCUGCCGGAGCUGUUGGGUUGAUUGCUGCAAAUUCUGUCAAUAUGCUACUGCGAAUCUCAUAUUCUGCAGUAUUCAUCAAUGAGUAUUUUAAGGGCUCAUUCUCCUUCUACCGCUGCUUGCCAGCGGGCUGGGGCGUUCUGCUCAUUUCUGGUCUGACCACAGCUUUCUCCGAGAGGAUGUUUCUGAAUAGAAAUAGGUUCAAGCAGACCCUUCCCAUUCACAUGGUGAUAGGCAUUAUGUGCCUGGGCUUCUCAUUGCUUGAGAUAUACCGUGGCGAAAAGCAGUUCUUGGUGAGCAUCAUCAAAUCGUUGAAGGGUCACAACAUACACACAUGA
rnacentral:rRNA from 1 species